UGCCUUGUUCCUGUGCUGCCUACCGUCUAUCGCGGAAUCCAAACGUUGUUGCUGCCCCUUCUUAUCCCUUGCCUUUACCUAGGCUCGGGCUGGACCCUGAUGCGGUUCGAGUGCCCCAAGCACGCCCACUCGGCUGCUAUGGAUCACUCGUUGCCGCUCGUGCAUUCGGAUGCSGAACGCUAAGCGAUGCCGGGGCGCGCACAGCAGCCCCCGCAUGACCCUAAACAACGGCGAAACUUCGCUCCCCGAGAAUGACCACCGCCGCGCUCGCUCUUCCAUCCAACCGUUCGCUCGGCGAUGGGAGCUAGCGCGCCGCGGUGCCUUCAAGGGCCGCUACCUGGUUGAUCCUGCCAGUAGUCA
rnacentral:misc_RNA from 1 species